rnacentral:rRNA from 1 species
UACGGAGGAUGCAAGCGUUAUCCGGAAUGAUUGGGCGUAAAGCGUCCGCAGGUGGCUAUGUAAGUCUGCUGUUAAAGAGUCUAGCUCAACUAGAUAAGAGCAGUGGAAACUACAAGGCUAGAGUACGUUCGGGGCAGAGGGAAUUCCUGGUGUAGCGGUGAAAUGCGUAGAGAUCAGGAAGAACACCAGCGGCGAAGGCGCUCUGCUAGGCCGUAACGGACACUGAGGGACGAAAGCUAGGGGAGCGAAUGGG